GGGGAUAUAGCUCAGUUGGUAGAGUGCUUGUCUUGCAUGCACAAGGCCCUGGGUUCAAUCCCCAGUACUACAA
rnacentral:tRNA from 1 species